ACGGAGGGAGCUAGCGUUGUUCGGAAUUACUGGGCGUAAAGGGCGCGUAGGCGGUGAUAUAAGUCAGAUGUGAAAACCAUCGGCUUAACCGAUUGGAUUGCAUUUGAUACUGUAUCACUUGAGUUCAGUAGAGGAGAGUGGAAUUCCCAGUGUAGCGGUGGAAUGCGUAGAUAUUGGGAAGAACACCAGUGGCGAAGGCGGCUCUCUGGACUGAUACUGACGCUGAGGCGCGAAAGCUAGGGGAGCGAACAG
rnacentral:rRNA from 1 species